rnacentral:rRNA from 1 species
UACGGAGGGUGCAAGCGUUAUCCGGAUUUACUGGGUUUAAAGGGUGUGUAGGCGGACUUUUAAGUCAGCGGUGAAAUCUCCGGGCUCAACCCGGAAACUGCCAUUGAUACUAUUGGUCUUGAAUAUUGUGGAGGUGGGCGGAACGGGUCAUGUAGCGGUGAAAUGCUUAGAGAUGACCCGGAACACCGAUGCGAAGGCAGCCCACGUACGCAAUGAAUUGGAUCGCUGAGGCACGAAAAGCGUGGGGAGCAAACAGGG